rnacentral:rRNA from 1 species
UACGUAGGGUGCGAGCGUUGUUCGGAUUCAUUGGGCGUAAAGGGUGCGUAGGCGGCGGGGCAAGUCUGAUGUGAAAUCCUGGGGCUCAACCCUGGAACUGCAUUGGAUACUGCCUUGCUAGAGUACUGGUGAGGAAACUGGAAUUUACGGUGUAGCAGUGAAAUGCGUAGAGAUCGUAAGGAAGACCAGUGGCGAAGGCGGGUCUCUGGACAGUUCCUGACACUGAGGCACGAAGGCCAGGGGAGCAAACGGG